CCCACCCCAUCUUCCCCCUUUCCCCAAGCCAAAGGGGAAGAUCUGGAAGGAUGUUAUUAGAGAUACAGAGGGUUCUUAUAUGACUAACUUGCAUUACAAAAUUGCCUAAAGAAUUAUGAAAGAACUGAAUUCCAAAAAACACCUUCCUGUACAGUACUGCUCUCCUCUCCCUCCUCUUCUAUCACCUCUCCUCUCUCUCUGACCCUUAGCUUAGUGCUGAGGCCCCCACUCCACCCCACAAAACAAAACAAAACUCUCCAAGUGACAACAGAACAGAGACCUCCAGGGGAGAGAGAGAUCUUUGCUCUGCUCCACUCACUGCCCCCAACCUCUUCACAUGUGCUUGCAAAAGCCCCCUCCUUCCCUCCAUCAGUGCUUAACCCUCCUCAAAAAAACCCAUUCACUGUAGAGGCCUGCAAAAGAGUCCACUUACAUAAAUCCAGACCUGUCUAUAAUUAGAAAUGUAUUCCUUUGGCUAUUCCAGGACUCCCAAAGGUGUCCACUCCCAGAUCGCCUCCUGAGGGCUAAUAGAGCUGGAAGGGAAUGCUGAGGUCAUCCAGGCCCCAGGAGGCAGUUGCAGAUGGGGAAACUGGAGCCUAAAGGGGUUAAAUGACCUGCCAGAGGAUACACAAGCAACAAGUGGCAACAUUGAAAUUAAACUCAGAUUCCUGGAGGCCAAUGAAAGCACUCUUUGCACCUUUAGAAACUGGAUAAAUGGUUGCCAAGCUGGGGAAGCAGUUCUGAAGCUGGUACCCGGAGGAAGCACAGCUUGUUUGUACAUAAUUGUUUGCAUGCUGGAACAAUCAAGAAGUUGUGGGCUUACCUGGUUAUGUGCCUGGGGUGGGGGAGGGGAGGGCGCAGAGCCCAGAGCCCAGUGCAGGCUCAGAGGGGGCCCCCCCCCAGGAGUCAGGCAGACAACAAACACAUUUCUGAAAGCACCUAAUAUCUGCCAGACAGUGCUGAGCGCUAGAUGCAGAGGGGGAAGAAGAGACCUGGCAAUGUAAAGGGAGAGGGCGGCCCGGAAGCCACCAGCUGUUUACACACAUGCCAUAUACAGGAUGACCAGGAAAUCAUUAACAGAGGGAAGGCACCAGAGUUAAGAGGGAAAGCGAGCGUGGGAAGGGACGGCCUCGGCCAUUUGCCCUCUUCUUGGAGAGAUUUCAGCCAGGGAGCUGUUUUAUCCCAGUCAGGACUGUCUCCUCUUACCACCCAGCUCCCAGGAUGUUAGCAGAACCAGCUUCAAUAGAGGG
rnacentral:lncRNA from 1 species